ACAUUGGAGGUUAGGGCUUCAACAUAUGAAUUCUGGAGGGACACAAACAUUCAGUCCAUAAUUAUCAGUAAAAGGAAACAAAACAAACAAAACCAAAAGCAUAAUAAAUUUUAAAAAACAGAAAUUCAACUAUAGAAGUAUCAAAAUGAUUUAUUUGGUGGCAUACUAUCUAGUAGUCAAAAUGAAUGAAAUGAAUCUAUAUACGUAUCAGCAAGAAUAGAUCUUGAAAACCAAAUGUUGAAUGAAAAAAGCAAAAUGCUGGAUAAUAAGUGGAAUAUGACUCCAUUUGUAUAAAUGUUAAACACAGGAAACAAUAGCCUUUGUUUUCUGUAUGGAUAUUUAGUAAAUAUGGAUAUUGAGUAAAUGCAUAAAAAACACAGACUCAUGGACCAGAAGAACAGGCAGGAAUUUCAGGAGAGUGGAGGAAAGAAGGAAGGAGGCUGAGGAGGAGUGCAGUAGUGUGUUGCUUAAAGACAGGGAUACGUUCUGAGAAAUGUGUUACGCGAUUUUGUCAUUGUGCGAACAUCAUAGAGUGUACUUACACAAACCUAGAUGGUAUAGCCUGCUACACACCUAGGCUAUAUGUACUCAUCUUAUGGGACCACCAUCAUAUAUGCAGUCCGUCAUUGACUGAAAUGUCCUUAUCUGCUGCAUGACUGUACAAAGAAACUUCCAUUAUAUCUGAAAAGAUUUUUAACAUCUUCUAUAUGGCAGGCCUAGUGUUAGGUGUUGAAGAUGAUAGAAUGAGCAGAAACAGAGGAGGUUCCUGUCCUCAUACAACUAGUGAUCUGAAGGAAGGCUAGAUAUUUACCAAAUAAUCAUUCACAAAAACGUAAAUUAUAACUCUGAUAAGUUCAAGAGUGGUGGCAGGGUCGUGCAGGAGUUGGGAGAAAGGUAACGCUCUAAAUGGAGAGACCAGCAUGUGCAGAAGCCUGGCGGCGGGAGUGGGCAUGUACAAAGUGGUAGGGCUGCAGAUGGGGAAAGGAUGAGAGAGCUAGGGCUGGAGAAGGAGACAGGGUCUUGUAGGCCACAUGGAGAGUUCGGUCUUUAUCUUUCAAGGAGCAGAAAGCCAUUGAAAGGUUUGAUAUGGUAGGGGGAGAUUCAUCAGAGGUGUAAUUUUAAAAGAUCACUCUUGAUACAGUGUAGGGACAGAAUUGGGGGCGGGGGGCAAGAAGAGAUAUGUGGGAGUUAUUACAGCAGUCUGGGCAAGCCUGGGCCUGGGAAGGUGAGGGAGGAAGUUGAGGAGAAGGAGAUAAAAUUUAUUUGACAGAGUCAAGAGAUUUUUAGCAUUAUAUUCAGAAGGACAGGUCAUAGAUUGGCCAUGAGAAGUGAGGGAGAAAGAAGUGGUAAAGAUGAGUCUCUUACACAGCUGUACAGACAGUUUCCAUUUCAGAGAGAAGAGCCCUGGGAGAAGACCAGCUUGGGAGGAGAAGAUUAUGAGUUUGGUUUUGGGCAAGUUGAAUUUAAAGUGCCUUUGAGACAUGAUCCCAUUCUGUAGUUCAAAUUCCGCACUGCACAUGGAGCUGGAACUUAUGAAAUGAUGGCCAAGUCCUGUAUGUAACCACUGGAACCAUCUAGAGCCAUUCUUGAGAACGUGCUGAGCGGUGUGGUCUAGUGGAGCAAAAAAAGCCCUGAGCGUGCAGAAGUGGAUGGGACAAUAUUGAGAAUGCAGCUGGGCCACUGCUGGUUGAAGUGGCCUUGGGGAAAGGGACAGGACGGCAUCAGAAAUUGAUGACUCUCCCCUCCUUUUCUAUCCCUCCCACCUAUACACACAUUCCAUCCAAAUGAUGACUCACUUGGUCCAACCCUAAGAAGCAAAGUACUCAGAG
ensembl:lncRNA